UCUUAUGGAUGAGCAAAGCAGUGAGUUUCUUGAGAUGGAAUCUACUCCUGGUAAAGAUUCUGUGAA
rnacentral:pre_miRNA from 4 species